CAGCAGUAGCCACGGUAAUACGUAGGUGGCAAGCGUUGUCCGGAAUUAUUGGGCGUAAAGGGCUCGCAGGCGGUUUCUUAAGUCUGAUGUGAAAGCCCCCGGCCCAACCGGGGAGGGUCAUUGGAAACUGGGAAACUUGAGUGCAGAAGAGGAGAGUGGAAUUCCACGUGUAGCGGUGAAAUGCGUAGAGAUGUGGAGGAACACCAGUGGCGAAGGCGACUCUCUGGUCUGUAACUGACGCUGAGGAGCGAAAGCGUGGGGAGUGAACAGGAUUAGAUACCCCUGUAGUCCCUGUCUCUUAUAC
rnacentral:rRNA from 1 species